CAUAAAUUAAGACCUUUGCAACGAAAUGCAUUAUUUAAAAUUUUUUUAUUUUACUUUUUUUUUAUAAAUUUAUUUAUACAAAAACAUUAUUUGUCACAUGUUACUCUUUAUAAAGAAUGAGUGUAUAACUCUCUUUUAUGCUAGUUAUUUGAUUUUUUUUUAUUUUUCUUUUAAUUAGCAUUAUUAUUGACAGUAUUACAUUAAUUUUUAUGAUUUAAAUUAUUACUUUUUAAAAUUUUUGAUUUAUAAAAAUUAAACCUUUGUGAUUAAAUGCAUUAUUUAAAAAUUUUUAUAUUGCUUUUUUUAAUAAAUUUAUUUAUGCAAAAACAUUAUUUGCCACAUGUCACCCUCCACAAAAAAUUUG
rnacentral:misc_RNA from 1 species